UACGGGGGGGGCAAGCGUUGUUCGGAAUUACUGGGCGUAAAGGGCUCGUAGGCGGCCAACUAAGUCAGACGUGAAAUCCCCAGGCUCAACUUGGGAACUGCGUCUGAUACUGGAUGGCUUGAGUUCGGGAGAGGGAUGCGGAAUUCCAGGUGUAGCGGUGAAAUGCGUAGAUAUCUGGAGGAACACCGGUGGCGAAGGCGGCAUCCUGGACCGACACUGACACUGAGGAGCGAAAGCCAGGGGAGCAAACGGG
rnacentral:rRNA from 1 species